rnacentral:tRNA from 1 species
GCGUGGGUAGGUCAAUGGCAGACUCCGAGCCUUCCAAGCUCGUUAUCCGGGUUCGAAUCCCGGCCGGCGCA